rnacentral:rRNA from 1 species
CAUGCAAGUCGAGGGGUAACAUAGAGUGCUUGCACUUUGAUGACGACCGGCGCACGGGUGAGUAACGCGUAUACAAUCUGCCUCAUACUAGGGGAUAGCCCAGAGAAAUUUGGAUUAAUACCCUAUAGUAUCAUUUAGAGUCAUCUCUUAAUGAUUAAAGGUUACGGUAUGAGAUGAGUAUGCGUUCUAUUAGUUAGUAGGUGAGGUAACGGCUCACCUAGACCACGAUAGAUAGGGGCCCUGAGAGGGGGAUCCCCCACACUGGUACUGAGACACGGACCAGACUCCUACGGGAGGCAGCAGUGAGGAAUAUUAGACAAUGGGCGAAAGCCUGAUCUAGCCAUGCCGCGUGCAGGAUGACGGCCCUAUGGGUUGUAACUGCUUUUAUACAGGAAGAAAAAACUCUACGUGUAGAGUCUUGACGGUACUGUAAGAAUAAGGAUCGGCUAACUCCGUGCCAGCAGCCGCGGUAAUACGGAGGAUCCAAGCGUUAUCCGGAAUUAUUGGGUUUAAAGGGUCCGUAGGUGGACAAUUAAGUCAGAGGUGAAAUCCUGCAGCUCAACUGUAGAAUUGCCUUUGAAACUGGUUGUCUUGAGUCAUUAUGAAGUGGUUAGAAUGUGUAGUGUAGCGGUGAAAUGCAUAGAUAUUACACAGAAUACCAAUUGCGAAGGCAGAUCACUAAUAAUGUACUGACACUGAUGGACGAAAGCGUGGGUAGCGAACAGGAUUAGAUACCCUGGUAGUCCACGCCGUAAACGAUGG